rnacentral:rRNA from 1 species
UGCCAGACUCCUACGGGAGGCAGCAGUGGGGAAUAUUGCACAAUGGGGGAAACCCUGAUGCAGCGACGCCGCGUGAGCGAUGAAGUAUUUCGGUAUGUAAAGCUCUAUCAGCAGGGAAGAAAAUGACGGUACCUGACUAAGAAGCCCCGGCUAACUACGUGCCAGCAGCCGCGGUAAUACGUAGGGGGCAAGCGUUAUCCGGAUUUACUGGGUGUAAAGGGAGCGUAGACGGCAUGGCAAGUCAGAUGUGAAAGCCCGGGGCUCAACCCCGGGACUGCAUUUGAAACUGUCAGGCUGGAGUGCAGGAGAGGUAAGUGGAAUUCCUAGUGUAGCGGUGAAAUGCGUAGAUAUUAGGAGGAACACCAGUGGCGAAGGCGGCUUACUGGACUGUAACUGACGUUGAGGCUCGAAAGCGUGGGGAGCAAACAGGAUUAGAUACCCCAGUAUU